CCUGUAUUCAGGUACAUAGAAAUUAGCUCAAAAUUGGGAGAAAGAGUGUAAAGAGAGAACUGGAUAGGCAGGUAUUUAAACUCUUGUCUGUGAGAAAAUAACUGGUUUGUGUUUUUCUUCUAGGGCGGCCCAGGUUCUUCCCACAGUUCUUACUCCGGUAACCAGGGAGGGUCUUCCUACUAUCCUGGUGGAUCUUAUGGACAGGGCGGCCCAGGUUCUUCCCACAGUUCUUACUCUGGUAACCAGGGAGGGUCUUCCUACUAUCCUGGUGGAUCUUAUGGACAGGGAGGGUCUUCUGUUUAUGAUGGUAGCAGUGAAUCCUAUGGUCAGGGUGGAUCUUCCGCGUAUAGUGGUGCUGAGUCCUAUGGCCAGGAUUCGCCUUCCCUAGGAGGCAGUGAAACUGCUGAGAGUGAUUCCUCCUCACCAGCUGGUAGCCGCCAGAGUGAACGGGGAUCAUCUUCUCAAGGUGGUGGCUACUCGAGUGGACAGGACUCGUCGUCAUCUGGAAGUAGCCAGUAUGGUGGGCAGGGUUCAUCUUCUUCAGGAGGCAGCCAGCCUGGUGGACAGGGUGCAUGUGAUUGUUCUGGGGGAAGUUCUGGUGGAUCCCCUACCUUAGUCAGAAGUGAUGCCUCUGCAAAUGACUCAUCUUCUUCUGGAGGCAGCCAGUACAGCAGCCAAGAUUCAUAUUCCUCAGGAGCUAGCCAGUAUGGAGGACAUGGGCCAUCUUCUUAUGGAGGCAGCCAAUAUGGUGGACAAGGUUCACCUUCCUCAGGAGGCAGCCAAUAUGGUGGACAGGUGAGAAUUCUUCCCUUGUGGUGCUUACUACUUCAUCAGAGACAUUCGAUAAACGUCU
rnacentral:lncRNA from 1 species